AUCCAGCUGAUGAGUCCCAAAUAGAACGAAGUGGCGAGCGUUCUGGAU
rnacentral:hammerhead_ribozyme from 1 species